GACAGAGGCCUCAAGCGUUAGGCGGAAUCACUGGGCUUAAAGCGUGUGUAGGCGGAUCGUUAAGUGUCUUGUGAAAUCCCACGGCUCACCCGUGGAACUGCUGGGCAUACUGGCGAUCUUGGGCCAACUAGGGGCAACUGGAACAAGCGGUGGAGCGGUGAAAUGCGUAGAUAUCGCUCGGAACGCCGAAGGUGAAAACAGGUUGCUGGGGUUGUGCCGACGCUGAGACACGAAAGCCAGGGGAGCAAACGGG
rnacentral:rRNA from 1 species